AGGCGCAGUCUCCACGAGUCGCAGCUGAGAGGGCGCAAUCUCUGUAAGGAGAUCUGCUCCUGUAAAUGGGAUCGGCUCCCUAUUCCGAGGUCGGGCCUGCUGCUGCUCCUCACGCUGCCGGUUCACACUGUGCAGGCCACUUGACAAACGCACAGGGUGAGAGGCAGCUGAGCGCCGGUUGGGAGCACGGGAGCCGGACCCCGCCGCCUCUAAUGCGCUCUCCUCCUCACACCCUGACGACUGGUCCUGCUCCAGGAUCACCCGACGGGAAGGUGGACGCUGCUCCUGGGUUCUGUUCUUCUCUUACCACCUGCGACGAGCAGGGCCGCCAUGCAUCACCACCGCGCUUCCCCCUAGCCUGUGACAGAACAUAUGGAGUGCAAUGAUAACGAUAAUAAUAAUAAUUCAACAAACAAAAAAAGGACUUACACCACAAGUCUGGAGAUGAUCCAGGAGACCAUUGCGCCGGAGAGGGGACAGGACGCGCUGUCUGCGGGGAGGAGUCUCCUCCAGACGACACAGGCAGCGACGUGAUGCGGGACCAACAGGAAAUAUUAUCCAUAGAUGGCAGUGUUGCAUUGCACAGAGCCCACCGAGCACAGUGCGGCUGUAGGCUGCUUCUUAGCACAACUGACACUCAUUUCCUUCGACGUUGACGUUCCCAACCAGUGCACCUCGGUUUGUUGUGUCAGCCAUUUUACUUAGGAAUAUGCUACGUUAUGUUGUUAAGUCCGGUUAAUAGUUUGAGACCCAAAAGAUAUUAAGUUUACAAAUACAAAACAAAGGAAAGCAGCAUUUUCUUUGAUUCUGGGAACAAAAAAAAAAAAGAAGGUUCAAGUGGGAAUUUGGAUGAAAAACGACUUAAGAUAUCAACAGAUUAUCAAAAAGGUUAAUUUUCUGUUAACUGCUUGGUCUAUUAAUCACCUAAUAGUGUUACAGCUCUCCUUCUGAAGACAAUAUGAACUCAAAAGACUAAAAUAUGUAUCAAGAAUUUGACGACGGACGCAUGCACUAAUGACCAGUGUAGACAGGGCCUCAAUAUUACACUGGCUAAUAAUGUAGGAUCAUCUUGGUUGAUCUUUCUGGGUUGUAAGAGACGUGAUGUAGUGGUCAGUUAAAAAACUGAUUCUAUGUACAGUCAGAAAGUUUAUUAUAUGUUCAUGUCACUUGGUGUCAUUGAAUAAAUACAUCGCAUUUGAGCUUUACACCACUUAAUAUGUUUACACUAAAUUAACAUGAUGAAUCAAAGUUAAGAGCUUAGUUGAGUCCGUUGUGAAACCAAGUAGAGGGUGUCGACAGAGAUCUGAAUCUAAAUGUUCAGGAAUGAGAUUUGGCCCAACCUCUUGUCACUAACCUGUGGACACCUGCAGCCUUUAGAGUCACAGUACCGUUUCUGUGUCCAGCCUGUGGCCUACAUACUGGAGCCCGGCAACAGAAGCGCGGUUUUGUUACAGUACAACAACAAAAGCGGCGAGGGAGGGAAAUCUAACCCUUUUGUCAAUUUUAAAGCCAAGGGAAUGGCUUCAAAACACGGGUGGCCCAGGAUGCUCUGCCAAAAAGAUUCACGUUUAUGCUCCUUAAAAAAACAAACACGUUUGAUUAGUGCUCUCGUCACUGAACAACAGGAUGAUACAAAGAUGUCCCCUCUAUCAUUUUACUCUUUAUUAUACAGGUGAUUUUCAGAGCAGAGGAAGGCAAGUUUACUCUGCCCAGCAGCUGUCUGGCAGUGUAAACCUUCUAUAUUUAACUUUAUUUUUCUUUUUGUGUGGUACUUCCUAAUUUUUAUUUUUGGAUUAGUCUCAAAAUCAGUGUCUUUUAAUUCACUUUUAACAUACUGUGUUUUGUUAAUCACCUGUCAAUCACUUUAAAUUGCAUUUUAAUUAAUAAUUUGAAAGGUGUUAUGUAAAGUUUGAUUGAUUGUUAUUAGACGGUCCGUGAAAUUCAGUUUCUAACCUUCAUGGUGGGCCAAUGCAAGCCAACAGGGUAAAAUCUCCUACAAGAUUAUUCCUGAUGAGAAUAGACAAAAUAUUUAGUGUUUACCGUGAUGCUGAAAGGCUCAAUAUAAAGAACAUUACUGUGAUCGACACUGAGACAGGAAACAGAUGUUAUGUAAUUGUUCUUACUGGCAACUUUUGUUCUUAAAAGUUUAUUUCCUCAUUUUUAUUCCCCCCCCCCUUGACAUAGAAAAAUUAGACACAUAAUAUUUCCACGAUACACAGGCUUCUGCACUAUAACCAACUUUUCCAUUUCCAUUGCAUUGUCCCACUGAGGAGGAACUCAGUCAUGACACAAA